rnacentral:rRNA from 1 species
GACAGAGGGUGCAAACGUUGUUCGGAAUUACUGGGCGUAAAGCGCGUGUAGGCGGCUUGGCAAGUCGGGUGUGAAAGCCCUGGGCUCAACCUAGGAAGUGCACUCGAAACUGCCUCGCUGGAGUGCCGGAGAGGAAAGCGGAAUUCUCGGUGUAGAGGUGAAAAUGCGUAGAUAUCUGGAGGAACACCGGUGGCGAAGGCGGCAUCCUGGACCGGUAUUGACGCUGAGGAGCGAAAGCCAGGGGAGCAAAGCGGG